AUGAACCUAUCUUUUUAUCGCGGAAGUGAUCUUGAAGACAUAUAUGUCUGCCUGCUAUGUUCGCGUGGCGAUUUUGGUAUGGAUCAAUGUAGUAAUAAUAGUCCAAGUUUCGAUGAAUAUGUACAAAGGCGGCAUGCUUGUUUGUUGAUGUCGACUAUAUUGGAGGAUGUCUUUCAUUGCUUCUUAAAAGAAUACCGGAAGUCACUAGUCAACCAGGAACAACUGAAACUUGAGCGACUACUGAAGGCAUAUAGCAUACUGCCUCCAUUCCUGAAACUAAGGCGUAUUUUUUUUCCGUUAAGACAUGUAUUUGACCAAUAA
rnacentral:rRNA from 1 species